GUGGGUAACCUGCCUGUAAGACUGGGAUAACUCCGGGAAACCGGAGCUAAUACCGGAUAGUUCCUUGAACCGCAUGGUUCAAGGAUGAAAGACGGUUUCGGCUGUCACUUACAGAUGGACCCGCGGCGCAUUAGCUAGUUGGUGGGGUAAUGGCUCACCAAGGCGACGAUGCGUAGCCGACCUGAGAGGGUGAUCGGCCACACUGGGACUGAGACACGGCCCAGACUCCUACGGGAGGCAGCAGUAGGGAAUCUUCCGCAAUGGACGAAAGUCUGACGGAGCAACGCCGCGUGAGUGAUGAAGGUUUUCGGAUCGUAAAGCUCUGUUGUUAGGGAAGAACAAGUGCNAGAGUAACUGCUCGCACCUUGACGGUACCUAACCAGAAAGCCACGGCUAACUACGUGCCAGCAGCCGCGGUAAUACGUAGGUGGCAAGCGUUGUCCGGAAUUAUUGGGCGUAAAGGGCUCGCAGGCGGUUUCUUAAGUCUGAUGUGAAAGCCCCCGGCUCAACCGGGGAGGGUCAUUGGAAACUGNGAAACUUGAGUGCAGAAGAGGAGAGUGGAAUUCCACGUGUAGCGGUGAAAUGCGUAGAGAUGUGGAGGAACACCAGUGGCGAAGGCGACUCUCUGGUCUGUAACUGACGCUGAGGAGCGAAAGCGUGGGGAGCGAACAGGANUUAGAUUCCCUGGUAGUCCACGCCGUAAACGAUGAGUGCUAAGUGUUAGGGGGUUUCCGCCCCUUAGUGCUGCANCUAACGCAUUAAGCACUCCGCCUGGGGAGUACGGUCGCAAGACUGAAACUCAAAGGAAUUGACGGGGGCCCGCACAAGCGGUGGAGCAUGUGGUUUAAUUCGAAGCAACGCGAAGAACCUUACCAGGUCUUGACAUCCUCUGACAACCCUAGAGAUAGGGCUUUCCCUUCGGGGACAGAGUGACAGGUGGUGCAUGGUUGUCGUCAGCUCGUGUCGUGAGAUGUUGGGUUAAGUCCCGCAACGAGCGCAACCCUUGAUCUUAGUUGCCAGCAUUUAGUUGGGCACUCUAAGGUGACUGCCGGUGACAAACCGGAGGAAGGUGGGGAUGACGUCAAAUCAUCAUGCCCCUUAUGACCUGGGCUACACACGUGCUACAAUGGACAGAACAAAGGGCUGCGAGACCGCAAGGUUUAGCCAAUCCCAUAAAUCUGUUCUCAGUUCGGAUCGCAGUCUGCAACUCGACUGCGUGAAGCUGGAAUCGCUAGUAAUCGCGGAUCAGCAUGCNGCGGUGAAUACGUUCCCGGGCCUUGUACACACC
rnacentral:rRNA from 2 species